rnacentral:rRNA from 1 species
ACCUGGGGAACCCAGGCUAAUACCGCAUACGUCCUACGGGAGAAAGGGGGCUUCGGCUCCCGCUAUCGGAUGAGCCUAUGUCGGAUUAGCUAGUUGGUGAGGUAAAGGCUCACCAAGGCGACGAUCCGUAGCUGGUCUGAGAGGAUGAUCAGCCACAUCGGGACUGAGACACGGCCCGAACUCCUACGGGAGGCAGCAGUGGGGAAUAUUGGACAAUGGGGGCAACCCUGAUCCAGCCAUGCCGCGUGUGUGAAGAAGGCCUUAGGGUUGUAAAGCACUUUCAGCGAGGAAGAACGCCUGGCGGUUAAUACCCGCCAGGAAAGACAUCACUCGCAGAAGAAGCACCGGCUAACUCCGUGCCAGCAGCCGCGGUAAUACGGAGGGUGCAAGCGUUAAUCGGAAUUACUGGGCGUAAAGCGCGCGUAGGUGGCUUGAUAAGCCGGUUGUGAAAGCCCCGGGCUCAACCUGGGAACGGCAUCCGGAACUGUCAGGCUAGAGUGCAGGAGAGGAAGGUAGAAUUCCCGGUGUAGCGGUGAAAUGCGUAGAGAUCGGGAGGAAUACCAGUGGCGAAGGCGGCCUUCUGGACUGACACUGACACUGAGGUGCGAAAGCGUGGGUAGCAAACAGGAUUAGAUACCCUGGUAGUCCACGCCGUAAACGAUGUCGACCAGCCGUUGGGUGCCUAGCGCACUUUGUGGCGAAGUUAACGCGAUAAGUCGACCGCCUGGGGAGUACGGCCGCAAGGUUAAAACUCAAAUGAAUUGACGGGGGCCCGCACAAGCGGUGGAGCAUGUGGUUUAAUUCGAUGCAACGCGAAGAACCUUACCUACCCUUGACAUCCUGCGAAUUCGUGAGAGAUCACUUAGUGCCUUCGGGAACGCAGAGACAGGUGCUGCAUGGCUGUCGUCAGCUCGUGUUGUGAAAUGUUGGGUUAAGUCCCGUAACGAGCGCAACCCUUGUCCUUAUUUGCCAGCACGUAAUGGUGGGAACUCUAAGGAGACUGCCGGUGACAAACCGGAGGAAGGUGGGGACGACGUCAAGUCAUCAUGGCCCUUACGGGUAGGGCUACACACGUGCUACAAUGGCCGGUACAAAGGGUUGCCAACUCGCGAGAGUGAGCCAAUCCCGAAAAGCCGGUCUCAGUCCGGAUCGGAGUCUGCAACUCGACUCCGUGAAGUCGGAAUCGCUAGUAAUCGUGGAUCAGAAUGCCACG